CAGUCGCCACGGUAAUACGAAGGGUGCAAGCGUUAAUCGGAAUUACUGGGCGUAAAGCGUGCGUAGGCGGUGAGUUAAGUCUGCUGUGAAAUCCCCGGGCUCAACCUGGGAAUGGCAGUGGAUACUGGCUCGCUAGAGUGUGUCAGAGGAUGGUGGAAUUCCCGGUGUGGCGGUGAAAUGCGUAGGGAUCGGGAGGAACAUCAGUGGCGAAGGCGGCCAUCUGGGACAACACUGACGCUGAGGCACGAAAGCGUGGGGAGCAAACAGGAUUAGAUACCCGGGUAGUCCCUGUCUCUUAUAC
rnacentral:rRNA from 1 species